UACGUAGGGGGCAAGCGUUGUCCGGAAUCAUUGGGCGUAAAGAGCGUGUAGGCGGCCAGAAAAGUCCGCUGUGAAAACUCGAGGCUCAACUUCGAGCUGUCGGUGGAAACUUUCUGGCUAGAGUCCGGAAGAGGAGAAUGGAAUUCCUGGUGUAGCGGUGAAAUGCGCAGAUAUCAGGAGGAACACCGGUGGCGAAGGCGGCUCACUGGCCCGGUACUGACGCUGAGGUGCGAAAGCGUGGGGAGCAAACAGG
rnacentral:rRNA from 1 species